AGGAGUGUAGUUCGAAUGGUAGAACGAUGGUCUCCAAAACCAGAGGCUAAGGGUUCGAGUCCCUUCUCUCCUG
rnacentral:tRNA from 1 species